AAAAAUCAAUUGACCAUAGAUGUAUAGGUUUAUUUCUAAACUCUCAAUUCUGUUUCAUUGAUCUAUAUGUCUAUCCUAGUGUUGGCACCACGUCAUCUUGAUUACGAUAGUUUCCUGUUUAUUCAAAACAUGGAAGGGGAAAAGAGCAUUAAUUGAGACUCUUUCAGAAACCAACACUUGAUAGACAUACAUUUGGUAGCUGAGGACAUGGAAUGAAGAUCAGACAGGAAGAGUGUACACCAUGACAAGGAAGCGUCAAGAAUGGAACUUUGGUGAACACCAACGAUGAGGGGGCAGUUAGAAGGAGAGUCACGCACGCAGGCGUCUGAGAAGCCACAGUCAGAGAAGCAGGAGGAAAACUACAUGUUUCGUUCUUUAUUGCCAUGUAAAGUCCACCACAAAACUUGAGGCUUAAAACAACAACUAGACCAGCUCUGCUUUCCCUCUUUUUCAUGUACCAGGCUUAGUAUUUGACAAAACAGUUUUGCCCAAAAUAAAAUAAGUCUAGAUACCACUAAA